GAUGAACGCUGGCGGCGUGCUUAACACAUGCAAGUCGAGCGAGAAGUUUUGAAAAGAUUCUUCGGAUGAAAUUUAAAAUGGAAAGCGGCGGACGGGUGAGUAACGCGUAGGCAACCUGCCCCAUACAAAGGGAUAGCAUUUGGAAACGAAUAUUAAUACCUUAUGAAACUUAACUAGUGCAUGCUAGGUAGGUCAAAGAUUUAUCGGAUGGGGAUGGGCCUGCGUCUGCUUAGCUAGUUGGGGAGGUAACGGCUCACCAAGGCGCCGAUCAGGUCCCGACCUGGGAGGGUGAACCGGCACAUUGGAACUGAGCCACGGUCCAAACUCCUACGGGAGGCAGCAGUGGGGAAUAUUGCACAAUGGGGGCAACCCUGAUGCAGCAACGCCGCGUGAACGAUGAAGGCCUUUGGGUCGUAAAGUUCUGUUCUAGGUGAUGAAAACUGACAGUAACCUAGGAGAAAGCCCCGGCUAACUCCGUG
rnacentral:rRNA from 1 species